CCUACGGGAGGCAGCAGUAGGGAAUAUUGCUCAAUGGGGGCAACCCUGAAGCAGCAACGCCGCGUGGAGGAUGACGGUCCUCUGAUUGUUAACUCUCUUUGUUAGAGAAGCUAAGCACGCUACCUAUCGAAUAAGCACCGGCUAACUCCGGACCAGCAGCCGCGGUCAUCCGGGGGGUGCAAGCGUUACUCGGAAUCACUGGGGUGAAAGGGGGCGUAGGGGGGUUAGCAAGUCAGAUGUGAAAUCCUAUGGCUUAACCAUAGAACUGCAUUUGAAACUGGUAUUCUAGAGUGUGGGAGAGGUAGGUGGAAUUCUUGGUGUAGGGGUAAAAUCCGUAGAGAUCAAGAGGAAUACUCAUUGCGAAGGCGACCUGCUAGAGCAUAACUGACGUUGAGGCACGAAAGCGUGGGGAGCAAACAGGAUUAGAUACCCUUGUAGUC
rnacentral:rRNA from 1 species